rnacentral:rRNA from 1 species
UACGUAGGGCGCAAGCGUUGUCCGGAAUUAUUGGGCGUAAAGAGCUCGUAGGCGGCCUGUUACGUCUGCUGUGAAAUCCCGGGGCUUAACCCCGGGCGUGCAGUGGAUACGGGGCAGGCUGGAGGCAGGCAGGGGAGAACGGAAUUCCCGGUGUAGCGGUGAAAUGGCGCAGAUAUCAGGAGGAACACCGGUGGCGAAGGCGGGUCUCUGGGCCGAUGACUGACGUGAGGAGCGAAAGCGUGGGGAGCGAACAGG